GGAGGGCUGUUCACAUAUAAGUUAUUGAAGAGAGCUAGAAGGAGAUUAAUGGACCGUGUACUGUACAUUUGUUCAUAAAUCUGAUCCAAUUACAGAUCAUGCUGGUCUACCAGUGAGAGUCCCAUCCAUGGCUGGAGAGAUGAGGACAGUAGUCCUUAUCCUAAGCUUCCUCCCAAGUAAGGCUAACCAAGGACCUUAUUAGUCUAUGGUUAUAAGACUUCUUAAUUUUACCGGAUAAGCAGCAGAGCCUUUGUGAGAGCAUCUGGAUAUCAUUAUUGGCCACCUUGUAGGAUGGUUGUUAGACAUUCCCGUAGUGUAAUAUUUGACACAUUUGUAUUUAUUGAGGUGUUAAUUCUGUCUCUUUUCAUGAUCCUCUAAUCUCCUGUAGGUGUAUGCCAGGGAGUGGUCGUCACACAGAUUCCGAAUUUGUUGUUAGUGAUGGAGGGAUCGCCGGCAAAUAUGACUUGUAGCCAAGAUGCCAACAAUGUAAACAUGUUCUGGUACCAACAGAAACCAGGAGAAGGACUAAAGCUUAUGAUCUGGUCAAUGCAAGCUGAUAAAAAGCAGACAAUGGAAUCAGACUUUCAAUCAGGCUGGGAGCUAGAGAGGAAUGACAUUGAGAAUUCAGUUCUACACCUUGAAUCUGCCAGAAUACAGAACUCGGCUGUGUAUUUCUGUGCAUCGAGUGCCACA